UGUGCUUUACACAUGCAAGUCGAGCGGAUUUCUCUGUUUGUAGCAAUACAAACGGAGGAAUCGAGCGGCAAACGGGUGAGUAAUGGAUAGGUAAUCUACCAUAAUGACUGGGACUACCCCCUUGAAAAAGGGAUCAAUACCAGAUAAUGUCAGUUAAAUACUUUUAAGCUGAAGAAAGAUGGCCUAAAGCUAUCACAUUAUGACGAGCCUAUCUCCUAUCAGCUUGUUGGUGAGGUAAUGGCUCACCAAGGCUAUGACGGGUAGCUGGUCUGAGAGGAUGGUCAGCCACACUGGAACUUAGACACGGUCCAGACUCCUACGGGAGGCAGCAGUGGGGAAUCUUGGGCAAUGGGCGAAAGCCUGACCCAGCGACACUGCGUGGGUGAUGAAGAUCUUUGGAUUGUAAAACCCUUUUCCUGAAGAUGAAAGGUAGGAUUGAGAAUAUCCUUCCUACCCUGACAGUAUUCAGGGAAUAAGCCCCAGCCAACUACGUG
rnacentral:rRNA from 1 species